rnacentral:rRNA from 1 species
UACAGAGGGUGCUAGCGUUAAUCGGAUUUACUGGGCGUAAAGCGUGUGUAGGCGGUUUGUUAAGUCGGGUGUGAAAUCCCUGGGCUCAACCCGGGAAUUGCAUUCGAUACUGGCAAGCUAGAGUACGGUAGAGGGCGGCGGAAUUCCGGGUGUAGCGGUGAAAUGUGUUGAUAUCGGAAGGAACGCCGGUGGCGAAAGCGGCACACUGGAUCUCAACUGACGCUGAGGCACGAAAGCCAGGGGAGCGAACGGG